rnacentral:rRNA from 1 species
AUCGAACGCUGGCGGCAUGCUUUACACAUGCAAGUCGCACGGGCAGCAAUGUCAGUGCCUGGCGGGUGAGUAACGCGUGGGAACGUGUCCUUAGGUGGGUGACAACCCCGGGAAACUGGGGCUAAUACCGCAUAUUUACUGAGGCCCAAGGCCUUGAGGCGCCUUUGGAGCGGCCUGCGUCCUAUUAGUUUGUUGGUGGGGUAAAGCCCUACCAAUCCUGCGAUCGGUAGCUGGUCUGAGAGGACGACCAGCCACACUGGUACUGAGCAACGGCCCAGACUCUUACGCGAGGCAGCAGUGGGGAAUCUUGGCAAAUGGGCGACAGCAUGAUCCAGCACUGCCGCGUGGGUGAAGAAGGUCUUCGGAUAGUCAAGCCCUUUAGAAGGGGACGAUGAUGACGGUACCCGUAGAAGAAGCACCGGCUAACUUCGUG